AACGAACGCUGGCGGCAUGCCUAACACAUGCAAGUCGAACGAGACCUUCGGGUCUAGUGGCGCACGGGUGCGUAACGCGUGGGAACCUGCCCUUAGGUUCGGAAUAACUCCCCGAAAGGGGUGCUAAUACCGGAUAAUGUCUUCGGACCAAAGAUUUAUCGCCUUUGGAUGGGCCCGCGUUGGAUUAGCUAGUUGGUAGGGUAAAAGCCUACCAAGGCGACGAUCCAUAGCUGGUCUGAGAGGAUGAUCAGCCACACUGGGACUGAGACACGGCACAGACUCCUACGGGAGGCAGCAGUGGGGAAUAUUGGAAAAUGGGCGAAAGCCUGAUCCAGCAAUGCCGCGUGAGUGAUGAAGGCCUUAGGGUUGUAAAGCUCUUUUACCCGGGAUGAUAAUGACAGUACCGGGAGAAUAAGCUCCGGCUAACUCCGUG
rnacentral:rRNA from 1 species